rnacentral:lncRNA from 1 species
GGGGACUAAGUGGGCACGCUUCACCUUGCGGUGAAUAUGCUUGCUUUUUGAAAGACUAUACUUUUCAGAAAAGUAAAGUGGGCUCACUUCAUCAGGAAAUAAAUCUUUUUUGAUUAAGAGCACCAUGCAUUCUUCAAACAACCUGCUUCUUCGAUGUCAAUGUUUAUCAACUGUCUUUUGAGUUGGUUAAAAUACCAUUGCAACUGUUUAGGCGACUUUUCUGCUUAUCGAAGACGUCAAGCCUCACUUGU